rnacentral:rRNA from 1 species
GCGAAUGGCUCAUUAAAUCAGUUAUCGUUUAUUUGAUAGUACCUUACUACUUGGAUAACCGUGGUAAUUCUAGAGCUAAUACAUGCUGAAAACCCCAACUUCGGGAGGGGUGUAUUUAUUAGAUAAAAAACCAACGCCCUUCGGGGCUUCUUGGUGAUUCAUGAUAACUUUACGGAUCGCAUGGCCUUGCGCCGGCGACGGUUCAUUCAAAUUUCUGCCCUAUCAACUUUCGAUGGUAAGGUAUUGGCUUACCAUGGUUUCAACGGGUAACGGGGAAUUAGGGUUCGAUUCCGGAGAGGGAGCCUGAGAAACGGCUACCACAUCCAAGGAAGGCAGCAGGCGCGCAAAUUACCCAAUCCCGACACGGGGAGGUAGUGACAAUAAAUACUGAUACAGGGCUCUUUUGGGUCUUGUAAUUGGAAUGAGUACAAUUUAAACCUCUUAACGAGGAACAAUUGGAGGGCAAGUCUGGUGCCAGCAGCCGCGGUAAUUCCAGCUCCAAUAGCGUAUAUUAAAGUUGUUGCAGUUAAAAAGCUCGUAGUUGAAACUUGGGUCUGGCUGGCAGGUCCGCCUCACCGCGUGUACUUGUCCGGCCGGGCCUUCCUUCUGGAGAACCUCAUGCCCUUCACUGGGCGUGUUGGGGACCAGGACUUUUACUUUGAAAAAAUUAGAGUGUUCAAAGCAGGCCUUUGCUCGAAUACGUUAGCAUGGAAUAAUAGAAUAGGACGUGCGGUCCUAUUUUGUUGGUUUCUAGGACCGCCGUAAUGAUUAAUAGGGACAGUCGGGGGCAUCAGUAUUCAAUUGUCAGAGGUGAAAUUCUUGGAUUUAUUGAAGACUAACUACUGCGAAAGCAUUUGCCAAGGAUGUUUUCAUUAAUCAGUGAACGAAAGUUAGGGGAUCGAAGACGAUCAGAUACCGUCGUAGUCUUAACCGUAAACUAUGCCGACUAGGGAUCGGGCGAUGUUCUUUUUUCUGACUCGCUCGGCACCUU